AGGGGUUGAGAUUGUAUUCCCUCUGUGAGUAUCUUAGUCCAUCUACUCUGUGUGUGAUCUUGUAUAAAGCAAUUUAUAUUUGUUUUCAGUCAUAUGCAUUCAAGAGAUAAUUUAAAAAAACAAAUCAAUUCUUAAUGCUUCCAACAAUAAAAGAUUUCAUGACUUCUUUAAAAGUUUAUAUCAACAUCUGUGAUGCCCCUAUUCAUGGGUAGUGAUGCCAAAACAAACAUAUUAAUUAUACUGGAGUGUCUGAUAAUUGUAUCCCACUCAUUCUUGGCAUGGCAUGAAUACUGAAUAUUUAGGCCUCAGAGUAUGAACAUGUUAAAAGUUGAGCCUUUGCAACUAGGACAUGUGCUGUACCUGUACAUCCAGCAUUCUGAUGCUGAGGUUAUAAACUAUGCAAUUUUUCAGAUUCAUGACCAUGCCAAUGAUGCUUCUAACAAGUGCUAUUAACUUCUCAUUGUUAUAACACCCAUGGUUUUAAAUAACGGCUGUGCCAUUACUUUAAGUUACAGGUUUUUCAAGGGUUUGUUACCCACUUACCCUUUACUAAAUGUUGAGUUGCAUUGGUAAUGGUCGUUACCACCAUUACAUAACAGUAAUGACGACAAAAAACAGAUACAUGUAGUGUUUUAUUU
rnacentral:misc_RNA from 1 species